rnacentral:tRNA from 1 species
GGACCAGUAGCUCAGUGGUUAGAGCACCAGUACCAGAAAUCUGGAGGUCCCAGGUUCAAUCCCUGGCCAGUCCA